rnacentral:rRNA from 1 species
ACGUAGGGUGCGAGCGUUAAUCGGAAUUACUGGGCGUAAAGGGCGCGUAGGCGGUUCGCUAAGUCGGAUGUGAAAACUCUGGGCUCAACCCAGAGCCUGCAUCCGAAACUGGCGGGCUAGAGUUCUGGAGGGGGUAGCGGAAUUCCUGGUGUAGCGGUGAAAUGCGUAGAUAUCAGGAGGAACACCGGUGGCGAAGGCGGCUACCUGGACAGAAACUGACGCUGAGGCGCGAAAGCUAGGGGAGCAAACAGGA